CCACACAGUGUAACGGGAAUAGCAUCGAACAGUUCCCGCCCGGCAACCUCUUUGUCGCAGUCAACGAAGGGUUGUGGGAUAAUGGUGCUGCCUGCGGUCGAAGAUAUAGAUUACGAUGUUUGAGUGGUCGAAAUCGCCCAUGCAAGACUGACAUCAUCGAAGUUCAAGUCGUGAACUUUUGCCCGAAGUCGCCAUGCCCUUCUUCCUUUCUCAUGUCCAAAGAGGCUUUCUCCGCAAUCUCUCGCUUCCCUAAUGCUAAACUCAACGUUGAAUACAUUGAGAUAUAAUAUCACAAGUUUUGCAGCCAUCAAUUUCCAAAGUUGAGUACAGUCUCAAAUUUUGAAACAUAAUUUGCUGUGCAAUAAUAACAACAACAACAGCAUACAUGUACCCACCUUUAGCAAAGCGCUAACCAUAUUAGAUAUUGUUGUCAAAAUGAACUUGCUUCAACUAGCAAUAUAGAUGUAUUAUCAAUCUCGAGAUCAAAAUUUGAAAGAAAACCAUUUGAUUGG